rnacentral:pre_miRNA from 1 species
CUAGAUUGGCUAUAGGUGAAUUGCAGCUAGUAGUGGGCUAUACUAUUAAACUUGAGCAAGUUUAAUAGUAUAGCCAACUAUUAGCUCCAAAUCAUGUAUAGUCA